rnacentral:rRNA from 1 species
UUACACAUGCAAGUCGAACGGCAGCACGGACUUCGGUCUGGUGGCGAGUGGCGAACGGGUGAGUAAUGUAUCGGAACGUGCCCAGUAGCGGGGGAUAACUACGCGAAAGCGUAGCUAAUACCGCAUACGCCCUACGGGGGAAAGCAGGGGAUCGUAAGACCUUGCACUAUUGGAGCGGCCGUUAUCGGAUUAGCUAGUUGGUGGGGUAACGGCUCACCAAGGCGACGAUCCGUAGCUGGUUUGAGAGGACGACCAGCCACACUGGGACUGAGACACGGCCCAGACUCCUACGGGAGGCAGCAGUGGGGAAUUUUGGACAAUGGGGGAAACCCUGAUCCAGCCAUCCCGCGUGUGCGAUGAAGGCCUUCGGGUUGUAAAGCACUUUUGGCAGGAAAGAAACGUCAUGGGUUAAUACCCCGUGAAACUGACGGUACCUGCAGAAUAAGCACCGGCUAACUACGUGCCGGCAGCCGCGGUAAUACGUAGGGUGCAAGCGUUAAUCGGAAUUACUGGGCGUAAAGCGUGCGCAGGCGGUUCGGAAAGAAAGAUGUGAAAUCCCAGAGCUUAACUUUGGAACUGCAUUUUUAACUACCGGGCUAGAGUGUGUCAGAGGGAGGUGGAAUUCCGCGUGUAGCAGUGAAAUGCGUAGAUAUGCGGAGGAACACCGAUGGCGAAGGCAGCCUCCUGGGAUAACACUGACGCUCAUGCACGAAAGCGUGGGGAGCAAACAGGAUUAGAUACCCUGGUAGUCCACGCCCUAAACGAUGUCAACUAGCUGUUGGGGCCUUCGGGCCUUGGUAGCGCAGCUAACGCGUGAAGUUGACCGCCUGGGGAGUACGGUCGCAAGAUUAAAACUCAAAGGAAUUGACGGGGACCCGCACAAGCGGUGGAUGAUGUGGAUUAAUUCGAUGCAACGCGAAAAACCUUACCUACCCUUGACAUGUCUGGAAUCCUGAAGAGAUUUAGGAGUGCUCGCAAGAGAGCCGGAACACAGGUGCUGCAUGGCUGUCGUCAGCUCGUAUCGUGAGAUGUUGGGUUAAGUCCCGCAACGAGCGCAACCCUUGUCAUUAGUUGCUACGAAAGGGCACUCUAAUGAGACUGCCGGUGACAAACCGGAGGAAGGUGGGGAUGACGUCAAGUCCUCAUGGCUCUUAUGGGUAGGGCUUCACACGUCAUACAAUGGUCGGGACAGAGGGUCGCCAACCCGCGAGGGGGAGCCAAUCCCAGAAACCCGAUCGUAGUCCGGAUCGCAGUCUGCAACUCGACUGCGUGAAGUCGGAAUCGCUAGUAAUCGCGGAUCAGCAUGUCGCGGUGAAUACGUUCCCGGGUCUUGUACACACCGCCCGUCACACCAUGGGAGUGGGUUUUACCAGAAGUAGUUAGCCUAACCGCAAGGGGGGCGAUUACCACGGUAGGAUUCAUGACUGGAGUG